GAGAGAGAGACAGAAAGAAACCGGAUGUGUCAUGUGUUUGUCGAAAGAUUGUGCGUCGCUAAACAGCCAUCGACGUAUGAAGUCCUGAUUUCUAUUCUAAACUGACUUGAAAGCUCCAAAGACACUUGAGUCUUGCAACAUUUGUUUAACUAGAAUUAAGAUUGCUGAGAUGUCGUUGAAGGCUGAACUCUAUAAAAACUGUGUAACGGAAGAGGAGGUUCGACCAGUGGGUGUUACCUGGCAACAGGCGUAUAGAGCUUGCGAACGAAAGUCAACAAUGGCAACAGGUUCAAAGCAAUCGAUUCCAUCUAACGACAACAGUAAACAUACAGACCAAAUAGCCAGACAAGCAAACAGUAAAUAAACCCCGGGUUUAAACAAUCAUCGCCGGUGUGUACUUAAAUCUUUAAGAUAUAACAUAUACUUUUUUAUUUGUAAAAAAAGCUUAUGUUAAAUAUAAUCAAUCAAUUAAUUUGUUUCAAUAAUGUCAUUACAUUUGUAUUAGAUUUAAACUAACAAUAAUAAAUCUAUGCAAUUAGACCUACAAACAUAUUUACCCAUUGUUUUUUUUAGGCGCUAUUUCAUGCUUUUAGCUUUCCAAACGCGCUAUGACACUAUCGCCUGUCUGGACCAGUGGGGAAAAAAAGGGGGGUAUCUGCGUUAAAUUUGCCAUGAUAGCUUUUAAAUGUUUUUUUAAAGCUGUACGACUUGAAUAUGACCUCGAGGGCUCAAGCUAAUACAGUGAAUACACUAGCAGCUUUGCCAGCGAAGUGCUUAUGAAAAUAGCAUUCUACACAAAUUAUAAAGGAGACUAAUAAUUUAUACAGCAUCUGUCGAAUAAAAUGUAUUUCCCUUGUUCGAUCCCAAA
rnacentral:sRNA from 1 species